GGCACGGUAGCUUAGUUGGAAAAGCACUUGUCUAUAGCGUAUAAGGGCCGUGAGUUCAAAUCUCACCUAAGCAA
rnacentral:tRNA from 1 species